AUCUCAGUCAGUGUGAAAUCUGAUAAUCGACGACGUGGGAUGGAAGUUAACCUUCUCAAGUACCCCCAUGGAAGUAAACAGGGGGUAAAGCUGACCUGCAAUUCUUGUGAUGACCAGCUGGAAGCCCAAACUCAGGACAGCUCUACCAUCGUUUGGACUUUAAACGGGAAGAAAGCUUCUAAUCACAUAUCCGUGGGCCUAAGAAUUACAAUCACAGUCCAAGACAGUCCCCAGAAUUAUGGUCUCUGGCAGUGCAGCGAUCCCAGAUGUCCUACCCAGUUUGACGGGUAUUGCUUGGAAGAUGAAUUUAGAAUUUCAGAGACAUUGGAGUCUGAAGAAACGCCCUGGUCUACCCCAGCACCAUUGGAUACAAAGAAGAAGUUUAAGAU